rnacentral:rRNA from 1 species
UACAGAGGUCCCAAGCGUUGUUCGGAUUCAUUGGGCGUAAAGGGUGCGUAGGUGGCGAGGUAAGUUGGAUGUGAAAUCCUGGGGCUCAACCCCAGAACUGCAUUCAAUACUGCCUUGCUAGAGUACUGGAGAGGAGAUUGGAAUUCAUGGUGUAGCAGUGAAAUGCGUAGAUAUCAUGAGGAAGACCAGUGGCGAAGGCGGAUCUCUGGACAGUUACUGACACUGAGGCACGAAGGCCAGGGGAGCAAACGGG